GACGAACGCUGGCGGCGUGCUUAACACAUGCAAGUCGAACGGAAAGGCCCUGCUUUUGUGGGGUGCUCGAGUGGCGAACGGGUGAGUAACACGUGAGUAACCUGCCCUGGACUUUGGGAUAACUUCAGGAAACUGGGGCUAAUACCGGAUAGGAGCUCCUGCUGCAUGGUGGGGGUUGGAAAGUUUCGGCGGUGGGGGAUGGACUCGCGGCUUAUCAGCUUGUUGGUGGGGUAGUGGCUUACCAAGGCUUUGACGGGUAGCCGGCCUGAGAGGGUGACCGGCCACAUUGGGACUGAGAUACGGACCAGACUCCUACGGGAGGCAGCAGUGGGGAAUAUUGCACAAUGGGCGGAAGCCUGAUGCAGCAACGCCGCGUGCGGGAUGACGGCCUUCGGGUUGGAAACCGCUUUAGCCUGUGACGAAGCGUGAGUGACGGUAAUGGGUAAAGAAGCACCGGCUAACUACGUG
rnacentral:rRNA from 1 species